CAAAAGCUUGGUCCUGACUUUACUGUCAGCUAUGAUUAAAUUUAUACAUGCCAGUAUCUGCGUCCCUGUGAGAAUGCCCUACCUGCCCCCGACCGGGAAAGAGGAGCUGAUAUCAGGCAUAACUCUGUGUUAACCCACGACGUCUUGCUAAGCCACACCCCCAAGGGAAUCCAGCAGUAAUAAACAUUAAGCGAUAAGUGUAAACUUGACUUAGUUAAUAUCAAGAGGGCCGGUUAAACUCGUGCCAGCCACCGCGGUUAUACGAGAGGCCCAAGUUGACGAAAAUCGGCGUAAAGCGUGGUUAAUGAGACCAUAACUAAAGCCGAACGCCCUCAAGGCUGUUAUACGCCCCCGAAGACAGGAAGUCCCGUCACGAAAGUAGCUUUAACCAUCAUGAACCCACGAGAGCUAGGGAACAAACUGGGAUUAGAUACCCCACUAUGCCUAGCCGUAAACAAAAAGGGCCUUUUACCCCGCCCUUCGCCAGGGAACAACGAGCCCCAGCUUGAAACCCAAAGGACUUGGCGGUGCUUUAGACCCCCCUAGAGGAGCCUGUUCUAGAAUCGAUAUUCCCCGUUCAACCUCACCCCCUCUUGUUUAUACCGCCUAUAUACCGCCGUCGUCAGCUUACCCUGUGAAGGAUUAAUAGUAAGCAAAAUUGGCAGAGCCUAAAACGUCAGGUCAAGGUGUAGCGUACGAGGGGGGAAGAAAUGGGCUACAUUUGCUGACCCAGCAAACACGGACGUUGCACUGAAACGUGCAGCUAAAGGAGGAUUUAGCAGUAAGGAGAGAAUAGAGCGCCCUCCUGAAGAUGGCCCUGAAGCGCGCACACACCGCCCGUCACUCUCCCCCAGAAAACCAAAACAAAUAAAUAAUAAUACAACCAGACACCAAGGGGAGGCAAGUCGUAACAUGGUAAGUAUACCGGAAGGUGUACUUGGAAAACCCC
rnacentral:ncRNA from 1 species